GCUCAGAGUAUAAGCCAAUGGAGCUUGGAAGGCUUCCGCAGAUGGUGUUCAUCAUACGUGGUGUUCUUAGACCUUGAGUGUGGCUCGUGAAGCGAAGCAUUGAGUUUGCCGACCAGCUGUCGUGCGGGGGGUUCAGCUUGGRAGGGUUGGGUUUCGGUCCAACAGUUUUCCUUCUGUCCCCUUUUGAAUGGACGUUCAGAGCUCUUGUGUCUAAUGCGGUUAUGCCCACCACAGCACGUUGUGAGGUCACCCACAGGCUCAAACUGCCGAUCGCGCAUCCAGGACGAUGGCAACGAUGCGUUGUCGAUGAUGGCUCGAGAGAGACUUCACUCACACGCGUGUCUAGUCCUGGGUCGGGCGGCGACCGAGAUAAACCUGGUACGAUCCUCUUGCGACGAGCUGCUUUCUGGCCAGACCGACGCCCAGUCGCCUCCACUGUGCCGGAAGCGUCAACCCCAGGCGGUGUGAACCCAGCUGCAUUAUGCAAGGUCUCUCAGCCGGGCGUUGGUCUGAGUGGUGUUAAGUCCAGCACCAUCGGUCACGUCUCGAAACACGGGCCAAGGAGUAUAGCAUGUGUGCAAGUCUAAGGGUCUCACAAAACCCGAAGGCGAAGUGAAAGCAAGACUGUGGCGGGGGAGCUACGGCAAACCCGCCGGCCUAGUGGCGCGUGCGUCGCCUGGCUUUUAGCAGAGCUGAUCCUGUUUUCUCGGUUAAUUCUUGGUGCAGGCGCAAGCUCCGGGCUCACGUACAACACUGGUCACGCCUCGCG
rnacentral:rRNA from 1 species